UACAGAGGGGGCAAGCGUUGUUCGGAAUUACUGGGCGUAAAGGGCGCGUAGGCGGCCCGGUAAGUCCGCUGUGAAAGUCGGGGGCUCAACCCUCGAAUGCCGGUGGAUACUGUCGGGCUAGAGUUUGGCAGAGGGGGGUAGAAUUCCACGUGUAGCAGUGAAAUGCGUAGAUAUGUGGAGGAACACCGAUGGCGAAGGCAGCCCCCUGGGUCAAGACUGACGCUCAUGCACGAAAGCGUGGGGAGCAAACAGG
rnacentral:rRNA from 1 species